rnacentral:misc_RNA from 1 species
GAUGAAGAACGUAGCGAAAUGCGAUACUUGGUGUGAAUUGCAGAAUCCCGCGAAUCAUCGAGUUUUUGAACGCAAGUUGCGCCCGAAGCCAUUCGGCCGAGGGCACGUCUGCGUGGGUGUCACGCAUCGUUGCCCCCCCAAACUCCGGUUCGGGCGGGGCGGAAGUUGGCCUCCCGUGCGUGCCUGCGCGCGCGGUUAGCCCAAAAGCGAGUCCUCGGCGAUGAGCGCCACGACAAUCGGUGGUUUUUUUACCCUCGUUCCUCGUCGUGCGUGCCCCGUCGCCCGAACGCGCUCUUGCAACCCUUACGCGUCGCCUCGGUGGCGCUCCCAACGCGACCCCAGGUCAGGCGGGACUACCCGCUGAGUUUAAGCAUAUCAAUAAGCGGAGGA